AAAUACAUGACUGAUAAGGAAGCUGAAGACAGCCCAUGGUGUGCAGCCUCCAAGCUCUCCACAAUUCCAGACUUGUAAGUCAGUCAGAUGUGGUUUUCGGAGGGACACUUCAGGUCAUAGCUCAUCUUUUGGAGCUGAUGGAUCAGAUGAGCUGCCAAAUCAUUUCGGUGGAGUGUGACUCAGAAGGGGGAGUGACUCAGAGGCCUGCACACAUGAUGACUUGGUGGCAUUCGUCUGUAUGAAAUCCCUUCAUUUUACAGAUUGGUUGAUUACUGCUGUCACUGUGAAAAAAAGAGCUAAUGGCACCUGUUUUGAAUCAUAUAAUAAUAAGAUAGGAAAGAAUAAAACCAAUCCAUAAAAUCA